GGAUGAGAGCCAAGAAAGAUGAAGUUUUGUUUUUGGGUGGUGAACUCGGAGCUUUGGGAGGUCAUUCAGGAGAUUUGGGACAAAAAAGAUGAGGUGGCGACUUGUCCAGGGUGUACCCCGCCUUCCGCCCGAUUGCAGCUGAGAUAGGCUCCAGCUCCCCCCACCACCCGAAAGGGAUGGAAGCUCUGGGGCAUAGGUGACUGGACUGAAGACAUGGAUUGGUGAAAGAGCAUACCAUGCAAAUCAAACAUGAAAGCAUCCACAUUAAAGUGACAGGCCUUUGC